rnacentral:hammerhead_ribozyme from 1 species
AUCCAGAUGAUGAGUCCCGAAUAAGACGAAGUGCGUACCCUAGAU